CCUACGGGUGGCAGCAGUGAGGAAUAUUGGUCAAUGGGCGCGAGCCUGAACCAGCCAAGUAGCGUGAAGGAUGACUGCCCUACGGGUUGUAAACUUCUUUUCUCAGGGACGAAGAAAGUGACGGUACCUGAGGAAUAAGCCACGGCUAACUACGUGCCAGCAGCCGCGGUAAUACGUAGGUGGCAAGCGUUAUCCGGAUUUAUUGGGUGUAAAGGGCGUGUAGGCGGGAGCGCAAGUCAGAUGUGAAAACUCAGGGCUCAACCCUGAGCCUGCAUUUGAAACUGUGUUUCUUGAGUGCUGGAGAGGCAAUCGGAAUUCCGUGUGUAGCGGUGAAAUGCGUAGAUAUACGGAGGAACACCAGUGGCGAAGGCGGAUUGCUGGACAGUAACUGACGCUGAGGCGCGAAAGCGUGGGGAGCAAACAGGAUUAGAUACCCCUGUAGUC
rnacentral:rRNA from 1 species